CCGAAGGCGCAACGAAAGUGAACCUUUUCUUACGAAUCGGUAGGUGGGAUCCCGGACCGAAUCCCGCUCGCGGGAAGAAUGGGCGCACCACCGGCCUGUCUCGGCCGCGACGUCGGCGAGGCGGAGCAAGAGCGUACGCGUUGGGACCCGAAAGAUGGUGAACUAUGCCUGAGCAGGAUGAAGCCAGAAGAAAUUCUGGUGGAGGUCCGCAGCGAUUCUGACGUGCAAAUCGAUCGUCAAACUUG
rnacentral:rRNA from 1 species